UCCGGUUGGGCUAACCCGGAAUAGCCCAUUUGGGGUGGGGUUAGCUAACCCCAGCUAACCCCACCCACUUCACUACUCCAACCAAAUAAAACAUUAUUUUACUCACUAUCCUUCUUAUCCCACUUACUCCAACCAAACACUAUUUUCUUUAAUCAUGGACUAACUCAAAUUCUCAACCAAAUACAAAAAUACUCUAACCCCACCUUAACCCUGAACUUAACUAUAUUCCUGGAAUAACUAGUUUUUCCUUAACCCCGAACCAAACGGUUAGAGUUUUUUUUUAAAAAAAAUAAAAAGUUUUGUUUAUAAUAAGUUUUUUAAAUACUUUAAAUGUUAGAUAAUAUUACUAAAAAUAUUUACGAUACCACGUUAGGAAAAGUGUAUUGAUGCAAUCAUGUGAGAAUUUUUUCUUAAAUAAAAGUACUGGCAGUUUUUCUGUAAAUGAAAAAUUAUUGUUUUUAAUAAAUUCUCUGAAUAACCAAUAUAUAGUCUCUAGAGCAAGUGGCAAAAGGCUUAGUGAUUGAUACCUGAAACCCAAAUUCAAAUCCUAAUUGAUUCACAUUUCUAGCUAAGUUUAUUUCUAAAUGAAAUAAACGAAGCGGGUAGCGUAAUAUUUUCUGAAUAUUAUAAAUAUUA
rnacentral:lncRNA from 1 species